AUUGAACGCUGGCGGCAGGCCUAACACAUGCAAGUCGAGCGGAUGAGUGGAGCUUGCUCCAUGAUUCAGUGGCGGACGGGUGAGUAAUGCCUAGGAAUCUGCCUGGUAGUGGGGGACAACGUUUCGAAAGGAACGCUAAUACCGCAUACGUCCUACGGGAGAAAGUGGGGGAUCUUCGGACCUCACGCUAUCAGAUGAGCCUAGGUCGGAUUAGCUAGUUGGUGAGGUAAAGGCUCACCAAGGCGACGAUCCGUAACUGGUCUGAGAGGAUGAUCAGUCACACUGGAACUGAGACACGGUCCAGACUCCUACGGGAGGCAGCAGUGGGGAAUAUUGGACAAUGGGCGAAAGCCUGAUCCAGCCAUGCCGCGUGUGUGAAGAAGGUCUUCGGAUUGUAAAGCACUUUAAGUUGGGAGGAAGGGCAGUAAGCUAAUACCUUGCUGUUUUGACGUUACCGACAGAAUAAGCACCGGCUAACUACGUGCCAGCCGCCGCGGUAACAC
rnacentral:rRNA from 1 species